ensembl:snoRNA
GUGCCCUGCGAAGGCUGACACAGUGCCUGCAGGGUAAAGGAAGCCUCUGUAAAACCCAGAGAAGACACUGUGAAACUCCUCUUUGAAUCCUGUCUGGAGUCACGGCU